CUUCCUCAAGAGACUGAAGAGACGCUGGUGGGCCUUCCACACUACUGACUGUGUGUGAGUAGUCCAGGUGAGGUCCUCGGUGAUGUGAA